UAGGGAAUCUUCGGCAAUGGGGGGAACCCUGACCGAGCAACGCCGCGUGAGUGAAGAAGGUUUUCGGAUCGUAAAGCUCUGUUGUUAAGGAAGAACGAGUGUGAGAAUGGAAAGUUCAUACUGUGACGGUACUUAACCAGAAAGGGACGGCUAACUACGUGCCAGCAGCCGCGGUAAUACGUAGGUCCCGAGCGUUGUCCGGAUUUAUUGGGCGUAAAGCGAGCGCAGGCGGUUAGAUAAGUCUGAAGUUAAAGGCAGUGGCUCAACCAUUGUAGGCUUUGGAAACUGUUUAACUUGAGUGCAGAAGGGGAGAGUGGAAUUCCAUGUGUAGCGGUGAAAUGCGUAGAUAUAUGGAGGAACACCGGUGGCGAAGGCGGCUCUCUGGUCUGUAACUGACGCGGAGGCUCGAAAGCGUGGGGAGCGAACAGG
rnacentral:rRNA from 1 species